UACGUAGGGGGCAAGCGUUGUCCGGGAUUAUUGGGCGUAAAGAGCUCGUAGGCGGUCUGUCGCGUCUGCUGUGAAAACUCGGGGCUUAACCCCGGGCCUGCAGUGGGUACGGGCAGACUAGAGUGCGGUAGGGGAGACUGGAAUUCCUGGUAUAGCGGUGAAAUGCGCAGAUAUCAGGAGGAACACCGGUGGCGAAGGCGGGUCUCUGGGCCGUAACUGACGCUGAGGAGCGAAAGCGUGGGGAGCGAACAGG
rnacentral:rRNA from 1 species